rnacentral:rRNA from 1 species
UGUAAGCGUAUACCAAAGUUGUUGCAGUUAAAACGCUCGUAGUCGGAAUUUGGCAGUUCCGGAUGUGUGCACGUCGUGUGCGCACUUCGCGGGGAUUGCUUUUGUGGUCUUGCGUAGGAUGAGGCACUUUUAUUAGUGAACGUCCUCACGCAACCACUUUUUACUGUGAGAAAAUCAGAGUGCUCAGAGCAGGCAUUUGCCGUGAAUGUAUUGGCAUGGAAUAAUAGAAUAGGACUUGGUUCUAUUUUGUUGGUUUGUUGGGACUGAGUAAUGAUUAAGAGGGACAGUUGGGGGCAUUUGUAUUUCGGUGCUAGAGGUGAAAUUCUUAGAUUACCGAAAGACAAACUGCUGCGAAAGCGUCUGCCAAGGAUGUUUUCAUUGA